rnacentral:rRNA from 1 species
UACGUAGGGUCCGAGCGUUAAUCAGAAUUACUGGGCGUAAAGCGCACGUAGGCGGACUAUUAAGUCAGGGGUGAAAUCCCGGGGCUCAACCCCGGAACUGCCUUUGAUACUGGUAGUCUCGAGUCCGGAAGAGGUGAGUGGAAUUCCGAGUGUAGAGGUGAAAUUCGUAGAUAUUCGGAGGAACACCAGUGGCGAAGGCGGCUCACUGGUCCGGUACUGACGCUGAGGUGCGAAAGCGUGGGGAGCAAACAGG